rnacentral:rRNA from 1 species
UACGUAGGGUGCAAGCGUUAUCCGGAAUUAUUGGGCGUAAAGAGCUCGUAGGCGGUUUGUCGCGUCUGCUGUGAAAACUGGAGGCUCAACCUCCAGCCUGCAAUGGGUACGGGCAGACUAGAGUGCGGUAGGGGAGAUUGGAAUUCCUGGUGUAGCGGUGGAAUGCGCAGAUAUCAGGAGGAACACCAAUGGCGAAGGCAGAUCUCUGGGCCGUAACUGACGCUGAGGAGCGAAAGCAUGGGGAGCGAACAGG